CUUUUGUGAAAUUCUGUCACAUCUCUGCCCCAUUUCCCCACUUGUGAAGUGUAGACACUGGACCGGAAUAAUGGUCUCUCUCCAGCAUGUGGGUGCUCAUUCACUCAACAAAAGCAAGAGACCGUUGUGUCCUCAAGAAACUAAAGUGAAAAAGCCACCUCAGCCUUCAACGUAAGGAGGAAACACGCGGCAGGCUUGGAGGAUACUGAUCAGAGGUCUGUAUGUCCAACUGGAAGUUUCUUAUUGAAAAUCUCAGCGGAACGGAGAAACAUAGCUUCAACUGCAGACCCUUUCAACAAAGCAAUCUGGUCUUCAUGGUCCAAUGUCUGAAAUCCUGCAUACAGCAACUGGCAAAUAUUUGGCACCCAAGAUAUAUUUGUUGGGCAACUGUGUGACGGACUGUCUGAAUAAGUAUGUGAGAAACAAAACACAAGCUGGUGUGUAUGCUGUUACACACAUGCAUACGAAUAUGUAUAAAUAAUGCCACCUGGAUCUCAUUGGCUUAGAAAACUGGUAAACAACAUGAGAGGUUUAAGAGGACUAUGCAAAGGAUUAAAAAUCAGUGACAUGGAAUAUGCAUCAUGGCACAGCAGGAACUUGGCAGGGUACUGGGAAUGAAGAUACUUAAGAUAUCGGCAUUGCUCUCAGACAAGGUACAUUCCUAUAAAUAAGACUUGUUGGCUUCAAUUAUGUCUUGUUCCAGAUCAACUGACCAUUUGAACUGAAAAAUCUUCA